UCCGGAGAUUUCUGAAUAGGGAAACCUGGCCUGCUGAAGGCAGGUCACUCUUGUCUGAAUACAUAGGGCAGGAGGGCUAACGGGGUGAACUGAAACAUCUAAGUAACCCCAGGAAAGAAAAGAAACCUCGACUUCCUGAGUAGCGGCGAGCGAAAUGGAAAGAGCCCAAACCGAGUUCAUGUAAGCCAGCAUGCGUUGUGAACUCGGGGUCGUGGGAGAUAUCAGGCCGCGGUGCUGUGCGGCCAGAGAGUUACAAAGAUCGUACCUAGUUGAACCUGGCAGGAAAGCCGGACCAUAGAAGGUGAUAGUCCUGUAAACGAAAGGUUCGAUCCUCUCGAUAUUAUCCCAAGUAGUGCCGGCCUCGUGAAAUCCGGUGUGAAUUAGGGGGGUCCACCCCCCAAGGCUAAGUAUUCCUUGACGACCGAUAGCGUACCAGUAGGGCGACUGAAAAAUGAAAAGAACCCCUGUUAGGGGAGUGAAAUAGAACCUGAAACCGUGUACCUACAAGCUGUGGAAGCCCUAUGCCCGCAAGGGAAUGGGUGACCGCGUGCCUUUUGCAUAAUGAUCCGGCGAGUUACUUUGCAGUGCGAGGUUAAGCUCUUCAGGAGCGGAGCCGUAGCGAAAGCGAGUGUGAAUAGCGCGAUUGAGUACUGUUGAGUAGACCCGAAAGCGAGUGAUCUAACCAUGGCCAGGGUGAAGCGGAUGUAAGAGUCCGUGGAGGCCCGAACGGUUUUAGGUUGAAAACUGAUCCGAUGAGCUGUGGUUAGGAGUAAAAGGCUAAUCAAACUCGCAAAUAUCUGGUUCUCCUCGAAAUAGUUUUUGGACUAGCCUCGUGUAAAUUAGUCAAUGGGGGUAGAGAUACUGAAUGGGUUUAGGGGGCUUCCCGCCUACCUUACCCAACCAAACUCCGAAUACCGUUGACCGUACCACGGGAGUCAGACCCUGGGGGACAAUCUUCAGGGUCGAAAGGGAAACAGCCCACAUCGCCAGUUAAGGUCCCAAAGCUAACCUAAGUCAUAAAGGAAGUGGGGAUGCUAUAACAGCUAGUAUGUUGGCUUAGAAGCAGCCAUCAUUUAAAAAGUGCGUAAUAGCUUACUAGUCGAGCAUCUCUGCGUCGAAAAUUAGCGGGAGUUAAGGUUAGCACCGAGACUGCGGGGCAAGUCGUUUAGUUCGAUUUGUCGGUAGGGGAGCGUUCCACUGUAGGUUGAAGGAGUACCGUAAGGAGCUCUGGACGACGUGGAAGUGAUUAUGCCGGAAUGAGUAGCGAUAAAAUGAGUGAGAAUCUCAUUCGCCGAAAGCCUAAGGUUUCCUGGGGAAGGCAAUUCCGCCCAGGGUUAGUCGGCACCUAAGACGAGGCCGAAAGGCGUAGUCGAUGGAUAGCGCGUUAAUAUUCGUGCACCACUCCUGGUAAGUUUGAUGGACAGGGGUGACGGAGACUGGAAGGUCAUCGGGGCGUUGAUUGUCCCCGUCUCUGGCCCGAGGGAGGCUGUAGGUAAAUCCGCAGCGGAAUCCCGGAGGCCGGGGCAGGACCACUUGAGUCUGAAGUGAUCGGAAGGUCUUCCAAGAAAAACCUCGGUUCUAUUGCCAGGAGUGACCGUACUAAAACUGACACAGGUAGGCGAGGUGAGUAUCCUAAGGCGCUCGAGAGAACCUUCGUUAAGGAACUAGGCAAAAUGACUCCGUAACUUCGGGAGAAGGAGUGCCACGGUAGAGUGAUCCAGUUUCCUGGAGAGCUCGAAGUGGUCGCAGCGAAAAGGGUCUAGCGACUGUUUACUAAAAACACAGGACUGUGCUAAGACGCAAGUCGAUGUAUACAGUCUGACGCCUGCCCGGUGCCGGAAGGUUAAGGGGACGGGUUAUCCCUUCGGGGAGAAGCUCAGAACUGAAGCCCCGGUUAACGGCGGCCGUAACUAUGACGGUCCUAAGGUAGCGAAGUUCCUUGUCGGGUAAGUUCCGACCUGCAUGAAAGGCGUAACGACAGGAGCACUGUCUCAACCACCGACCCGGUGAAAUUGUAGUUGUGGUGAAGAUGCCACAUACCCGCGGUUAGACGGAAAGACCCCGUGAACCUUUACUGUAGGCUGAUAUUGGGCUGUGAUAUGUCUUGUGUAGGAUAGGUGGGAGGCUAUGAGACCAGCACGCCAGUGCUGGAGGAGCCAUCCUUGAAAUACCACCCUGGUCAUGUUUUAGUUCUAACGCUGAUUCCCAUGAAUCUGGGCAGCGAACAGUGUCAGCUGGGCAGU
rnacentral:rRNA from 1 species